rnacentral:lncRNA from 1 species
UUUUUUUUAUUACGGUGUCGUUUAUCAUUUAAAAACCUUCUGUAUAUUAGCAUUUCAACGCAAAGCUAGAUGCUAGAUGCAAUGAUACAUGUUAGUUUAUGUCGUAUUUUAUUUUUCUCAAGAGACCAAUUUUUUUAAUCUUUCUCAAGUCAAAUCAAACUUUGAGAUUUCUAUCCUGAAUGACAAAAUCUCGGAUAAGUUUGAUAAAGAAUUAAUUACACUUUGUGUCGCAUUCUAAUGGAAAAAUAAAUUAUUACGCAUUUGUGCUCGUUGUUCUCUACUGUACUGUAUAUUGAAGAUAAUUUUAAUAAAACGGAAACUGAAGUGAGUAUGGUCUAUAAUUAUAAAGAUAAUUGCAGUUCUUUUAUAAUGGACCAAGAGGACAACAUCUUUUAAGAUAUGUUAUUUCUAUUUCUGUUAAUAUUCUGUAUGAGUUUUCUGUCGAUUCCCGCCGUGCCCUUUCCUUUGAGGAAAGAAACCGCCCUUGCCAGACGGC